GAUGAACGCUGGCGGCGUGCCUAAUACAUGCAAGUCGAGCGAACGGACGAGAAGCUUGCUUCUCUGAUGUUAGCGGCGGACGGGUGAGUAACACGUGGACAACCUACCUAUAAGACUGGGAUAACUUCGGGAAACCGGAGCUAAUACCGGAUGAUAUUUUGAACCGCAUGGUUCAAAAGUGAAAGACGGUCUUGCUGUCACUUAUAGAUGGAUCCGCGCUGCAUUAGCUAGUUGGUAAGGUAACGGCUUACCAAGGCAACGAUGCAUAGCCGACCUGAGAGGGUGAUCGGCCACACUGGAACUGAGACACGGUCCAGACUCCUACGGGAGGCAGCAGUAGGGAAUCUUCCGCAAUGGGCGAAAGCCUGACGGAGCAACGCCGCGUGAGUGAUGAAGGUCUUCGGAUCGUAAAACUCUGUUAUUAGGGAAGAACAUAUGUGUAAGUAACUGUGCACAUCUUGACGGUACCUAAUCAGAAAGCCACGGCUAACUACGUGCCAGCAGCCGCGGUAAUACGUAGGUGGCAAGCGUUAUCCGGAAUUAUUGGGCGUAAAGCGCGCGUAGGCGGUUUUUUAAGUCUGAUGUGAAAGCCCACGGCUCAACCGUGGAGGGUCAUUGGAAACUGGAAAACUUGAGUGCAGAAGAGGAAAGUGGAAUUCCAUGUGUAGCGGUGAAAUGCGCAGAGAUAUGGAGGAACACCAGUGGCGAAGGCGACUUUCUGGUCUGUAACUGACGCUGAUGUGCGAAAGCGUGGGGAUCAAACAGGAUUAGAUACCCUGGUAGUCCACGCCGUAAACGAUGAGUGCUAAGUGUUAGGGGGUUUCCGCCCCUUAGUGCUGCAGCUAACGCAUUAAGCACUCCGCCUGGGGAGUACGACCGCAAGGUUGAAACUCAAAGGAAUUGACGGGGACCCGCACAAGCGGUGGAGCAUGUGGUUUAAUUCGAAGCAACGCGAAGAACCUUACCAAAUCUUGACAUCCUUUGACAACUCUAGAGAUAGAGCUUUCCCCUUCGGGGGACAAAGUGACAGGUGGUGCAUGGUUGUCGUCAGCUCGUGUCGUGAGAUGUUGGGUUAAGUCCCGCAACGAGCGCAACCCUUAAGCUUAGUUGCCAUCAUUAAGUUGGGCACUCUAAGUUGACUGCCGGUGACAAACCGGAGGAAGGUGGGGAUGACGUCAAAUCAUCAUGCCCCUUAUGAUUUGGGCUACACACGUGCUACAAUGGACAAUACAAAGGGCAGCGAAACCGUGAGGUCAAGCAAAUCCCAUAAAGUUGUUCUCAGUUCGGAUUGUAGUCUGCAACUCGACUACAUGAAGCUGGAAUCGCUAGUAAUCGUAGAUCAGCAUGCUACGGUGAAUACGUUCCCGGGUCU
rnacentral:rRNA from 1 species